rnacentral:rRNA from 1 species
UACAGAGGGUGCAAGCGUUGUUCGGAAUUAUUGGGCGUAAAGCGCGUGUAGGCGGCUUUGCAAGUCGGGUGUGAAAGCCCUCAGCUCAACUGAGGAAGUGCGCCCGAAACUGCAGAGCUUGAGUGCCGGAGAGGGUGGCGGAAUUCCCGGUGUAGAGGUGAAAUUCGUAGAUAUCGGGAGGAACACCGGUGGCGAAGGCGGCGACCUGGGUCGAUACUGACGCUGAGGUGCGAAAGCGUGGGGAGCAAACAGG